GACGAACGCUGGCGGCGUGCUUAACACAUGCAAGUCGAACGGAAAGGCCCUGCUUUUGUGGGGUGCUCGAGUGGCGAACGGUUGAGUACCACGUGAGUACCCUGCCCUUGCCUUUGGGAUAACUUCAGGAAACUGGGGCUAAUACCGGCUAGGAGCUCCUGCUGCAUGGUGGGGGUUGGAAAGUUUCGGCGGUUGGGGAUGGACUCGCGGCUUAUCAGCUUGUUGGUGGGGUAGUGGCUUACCAAGGCUUUGACGGGUGGCCGGACUGAGAGGGUGACAGGGCACAGACGGAUACGGGAGGCGGCCGUAGGGCAUCGGGGGGCAUGGGCGGGGGAUUGUGCGAGAAGGGCCGAAGGAGUGAGGAAGGAUGCCGGAUCGUGGAGCACUGCCGUCGGGGUGGAAAGCGUGUGCGCGUGGAAAGAAGACUGUGUGACGGUAAAUUACAAGGAAGCACCGGCUAACUACGUG
rnacentral:rRNA from 1 species